UCUCGAUUCGUCUAGUGGUUAGGAUACCUGCUUGUCAUCUUGAAUUCGCAGGUGGCCGGGGUUCAAUUCCCCGAUCGAGAG
rnacentral:tRNA from 2 species